AGGGUAAUAGUUAAAUAUAACAUUUAAUUUGCAUUUAAAAAAUAUUGAAUAAAAUAUUCAAUUUACCUUA
rnacentral:tRNA from 1 species